UACGUAGGAGGCGAGCGUUGUCCGGAGUUACUGGGCGUAAAGGGUGCGCAGGCGGUCGCGCAGGUGUCGGGUGAAAUCUCCCCGCUUAACGGGGAGGGGGUCUGGCAAACGGCGCGACUUGAGACUCGGCGAGGGGCGUGGAAUUCCGGGUGGAGCGGUGAAAUGCGUAGAGAUCCGGAGGAACACCGACGGCGUAAGCAGCGCCCUGGACGAGCUAUCUGACGCUCAGGCACGAAAGCUGGGGGAGCAA
rnacentral:rRNA from 1 species